rfam:Hordeum vulgare subsp. vulgare, WGS project CAJW01000000 data, contig: morex_contig_143617
AAUAUACUCCUUCCGUCGGAAAAUACUUGUCAUUAGAAUGGGUGUAUCUAGAUGUAUUUUAGUUCUAGAUACAUCAUGUUUUAUUCAUUUGUGUGACAAGUAAUUCCAGACGGAGGGGGUAUUCU